UCGUACAACUCGUACCCGCUUACAAAGUACCACACAUAUAACUUUGUAGGUGAAAUUUUUUUUAGUCAUUUCUUUUUCUAAGUGUGGCUAGCAACGCAUCAGAAACUCUAUAUUCGUGACCACUGGGUUAGAGCAAUGGUCUAUAAGUGUUUUUUCCCAAAGCCACACACACCCACAAUGAUAGCAGCAUCGGGAAUCGAGUCCAGUACCCUUUGGUUUCGAAGCAAACGCUCCAACCACUAAUGUACUCAGUAGGUACAGUGUAUCAGAUUUAGCGACACAACAGCGUGGGAUGUUACAUUGAUAAGUUUUUAUCUCGGUUAAGUAAAGUCAGAGGAUUAUCCGCAAAAUGCAUUAACAAAAAUGAAUCAUGCAUCGCUUAUGGUCAGUAAGAAGGGGAUUUUCAAAGAUAGAGCCAUUAUUAACCGCUUACUAAACCGCGUAUCAAGAUGAAUCAUGGUUAAUGGAAAUUGUGGAUCAAAUCCUGCGUCAUAAGAAUAAGCGAUUCCAGGGCCCAUGACGCAGAGUUGAGAUGUGUGGUGUUAUUUUAGACAGUCAGCAUCGUUAGAUUGUAUCAUUGGUAACCAUAUCGGAUUCAGUCAUUAGAAAAAAGAUCGUACGAUUGUAAGGAAAAGGUUUUGGUCAGAGAUGUUGCUCAGUUUGUGACAAUUUAUAAUUGAUUAUUACCACGAAAGUUUGUACAACAGUUUCAAAUUAUCUGUGGUAUUUCAAUUUACACGGGUCGACGUAAAAAACGUUUUGGGGACACGGAACGCCAAAUUAGAUUAAAUGAUCUACUGUGAAACACGACGACGUGUAUAUUUUAUUGACUUAUAAAGCGUUUUGCAUUUUCCCUAUAUACUUCUUGAUUUGAACAUUCCCUGUAUGGGUCAAUAUAUUUCACUUAUUAUAGAGCUUAAAGCUACUUUUGAUAAAAAAAUGUAAUAUUGGUUUUAGAUUAUAUAUAUAUAUAUAUAUUGGGUAUUAUUUUCCUAUUGAAACUUUACCAAAAAUCCCGUGUUUUAUGCGCUAAGCUAUCAUACAGAGUGUUCGGAAAGUUAUUAUGCACCGUUCUAAUAAUUGAGUUGUUUAGAAAUGAAGCAUCUGAUUGGGGUGUUUAAAAACAAAAUAAGAAAGUUCCAAGUCUGUAUUCUUGUUAAAAGGGGUCACAUUCAACAUCAUUUAUAAUUUUCAUUUAUAUUUACCUCCUGGAUUCCAUACUGAAACAUGUCUUAAAAAUAUAUAUACAGUGU